AACGCACCUUGCACUCCUUGGUAUUCCGAGGAGCAUGCCUGUUUGAGUGUCAUUAAAUUCUCAACUUCAUCAGUUUUCAUGCAAGACUGUGUGAAGCUUGGAUAUGUUGGGGGUUGUGCAGGAAAAACACAUUUUGAGCCUGCUCUCCUUAAAUUGAUUAGCAAGUUCAAACUGGGCUUCUGUCUAUUGGUGUGAUAAUUAUCUACACCGUGGAUUGAGCUUAGACUUGCUUCUAACUGUCUGAAAGGACAAAUGUACUUUGAUAAAUUUGACCUCAAAUCAGGUAGGACUACCCGCUGAACUUAA
rnacentral:misc_RNA from 1 species